CUAGUGCGGUGACAGAAGUGUAAAAAGUCGUCUAGAUCGCGAGUUUAAUCUCCCCAAAUAACACACGGCUAAAAAUGGUCUUAACUUAAAGACAAAUAUGUCUUCUUUAGUUUUUUGCCCUGUCGUCAGAAUUUCGUACGGUCACAUUUUUCUAAAAAGUCGUUUUAAUGACUAGUAGUAUAUUGGAGAGUUUCAACCCCCCUUUUUCAAAAUGAAAAAUUG
rnacentral:lncRNA from 1 species